rnacentral:piRNA from 1 species
UGCUAUGCUUGGUUUUGAACUAGUGAC